rnacentral:rRNA from 1 species
CCUACGGGGAGCAGCAGUAGGGAAUAUUGCUCAAUGGGGGAAACCCUGAAGCAGCAACGCCGCGUGGAGGAUGAAGGUUUUCGGAUUGUAAACUCCUUUUGUUAGAGAAGAUAAUGACGGUAUCUAACGAAUAAGCACCGGCUAACUCAGUGCCAGCAGCCGCGGUAAUACGGAGGGUGCAAGCGUUACUCGGAAUCACUGGGCGUAAAGCGCGCGUAGGCGGGAUAGCAAGUCAGAUGUGAAAUCCUAUGGCUUAACCAUAGAACUGCAUUUGAAACUGUUAUUCUAGAGUAUGGGAGAGGUAGGUGGAAUUCUUGGUGUAGGGGUGAAAUCCGUAGAGAUCAAGAGGAAUACUGAUUGCGAAGGCGACCUGCUAGAACAUAACUGACGCUGAUGCGCGAAAGCGUGGGGAGCAAACAGGAUUAGAUACCCGAGUAGUC